rnacentral:misc_RNA from 1 species
AAUUUAUCAACUGUUCCGACUUUACCAUUGGAAUGAAGUUGGCUUAUGGAGGGACUUUCAAAUUGCUGUGUGCAUACACAGCUCCUCUUGAAUGCAUUUCAUUAGCUUGCUUACAGGCAAUCUUCCAUCGACAUGAUAAACUAUCUAUGUUGAUUAGAGUUUGCUUUGCAACAACUAUCAC